CGACACGCGCGGUCUUAACAUCACGCGCGAGCUUCGCAUUCUCGCAAUCAGUCACCAAAUGUCCGUCAAUCGCGAACUUCAGGAACGGCAACAAACCAGCAAAAUGACGACCCGGGAUAUAUUUCUAUAAGAUUUUACGAGGAACGAUUCUUAUUAUCGAAUAAGAAUUCACGGUGAAUUUCAAUCGUACCUUUGAGAAGGAAUACACCGGACUGGGAGCAACAUUCGGAUUCGUCCAAACGUUAGUCGCACCAGAUUUCCAGGAAGGAAGCUUUCAGCACAAAAUUGCACUUUUCGUGUUCUUGAAGGACUUUGAAUAGGUAGACGAAG